GUCUCAGCCAGGUUCUCACCAUAAAGGUGGACAGAAAAUUAUUUUUCCUCCUCUUCAGUGUCUGGGGAUCAGGAUGGGACCCGCUGGGACACCCCACUCCUCCAGAGCCUGCAGACGGGAUCCUGGGAAAACGCAGAAGCCAGCAAAGGGUGAGAAUUCCUGCCAGAGUCAGCACUCCCAGAUGUCCAUCUGUGGUGCCUGGUGGAGAGGAAGGUAAAAUUUCACAUCGUCCCCUCCUUUCCAAAUCCAGAUUGGCAGGAAGAAACAUCUGUCUGAAUUCGAUCUUUGAAUUCUUUCUAUCUCAGGGACAGCUAUCGCUUUCUUGUUUGUCUUGUUUUGUGUCCUGAGAACUUGGCAUGGCAACUGUCAGGUUGGGGUCCCCAAAAUACGGCCGGAGAGAAAGGUGGGUUUUGCCCCAUUUGCAGUUUGGGUCCUGCUGACUGCUGUCGGCUCUCAGGGCAAUUGUCUGGGUCUCUUUCUUUGGGGUCAUCUCUGGAUCUCGGAAGGGUAGUUAUCUUUUCACCCUCCUAGGGGACGCCCCUUGCAUCCAAGGGAUUGUUCGAUACCGCCAGGAAGGUUUACUGUUUGUCCUGUUCAAACCUGACAAGAUAUUUGAAAGGAUUUUUUUUUGAAUAGCUCUAAGGUCAGAGCUGGCUGAAUUGGAAGCUGAUAUUCAGAGCCUGAUAGGAAGUUUUUUCAGGCCUUCUCCCCAAGCUAAAAUGAAACUAUGUACCCAGCGGGAAAGAAAAACAUUCUGAAGCUAAUACAUUUGAAAUACUGACCUUAAAUCUCUCCUCUUGUUGCAGGUGUUCUGGUAACUUGAACUGACUCUGGUCUCCCCAGGGAAGGAACCACGUCCUCUGGGAUUCAAGCAUGUUGAGUUUGAGGUCAGCACUUUCCUUUGCACCAGUUCUGGGGUCUCCUCACCAGCCAUGAGCCAGAGCUCUGCCCGUGCUUCACAGCCAAGCCCCUGAUGGUGAAAACCCAGUUCCGGCUCUGCUUCCGCCCCCAAUCCUGAAGCCUGGGGCGCUGCCGUUACAUCCAUCUCAGCUUGGCUGCCCUGGAGCAUCUGCAUUUGGAUGGCUGCUGCCUGGAACUUGUGGACCCCUGGGAGUCUAUCUCAGGAAGGAACCACUGCUAGUUUUUCAUCCCCCGUCUCCUCUUGACGUGAUUCUUGAACACUCACUGAAGACCCACGGAAACAUUGCCACAUGGGUGAAAACUUUCUCUGUAGCUGGAGCUCCACGGGAUUCUAAUCCAGCACACCAGCCCACCCACCGCUGUUGAAAAUUCACGAGAUGUUGGGCUGGUUUCUCUUUAUGGUCUGUGUCAGAUGCCUCCCUCCUCUGAAGUUCCUUCAGUCAUGAGAGCAGCAGAAAGUUACUUCUGACUUUCUAGAGUUUAGUUUAUUUGCAUUUUUCUGUGUCCUGAGUUUUCUGAUUCUUUUAAAAAUGAUUCUUGUAGGUUUUCCAACUGUUUUUAAAUUUUAGGAUGAGAGUCAUGGUCUAAUGCAACUUGUCCAUUUGAACCAGAAGCAGAAUUCCCUCAACUUCCUCAUUAUACAGCUGAGAAAACUGAGAGUGACAGUGGACCAACACUGCAACACAGUUAUAUAUGGACAAAGAGGGAUGAAAACCAACAUGGCGUCCUUUCUUUCCCAGAGUAGUGUUUUUCAAACUUAAAAUAGAGAGUAAAAAUGUGUAGAAUAUAUUGCCUUUAGGAUAAACUAUAGAAUAUAUUGCAAUGAAAUUUAGCAUUCAGAAUGAAUUAAAUCCAAUUUUGUCCUUCACGUUGGGUAUUUGUGGGGGUUACUAAUAGCCAGUGAGCGUGGGAGGCCAGUGAGAGCCGUAGCUGUUCUCUCACAUGCUCUUGAUCAAGUAGUGUGUUACCGUGAAUGUGCUCAGAUCACACGUACACAUUUUUUAUUACCAGUCAAGCACACUGGAGCAAUCAUAAACAAUGCUUUCUGUGAACUAAUGAAGUCUACUUCACUCUCCUUGGUUUUCCAUAGCACCAUCCAUGAUGCCUCAUUGGGAUCAGUUGCAACAAUGCUCCAGCACUGGGUCAGUUAACUGAAUCAUAGGAUAGAUAAGGAUGUAAAUGCAGACAAGGCUAGGAAUCCAAAAUCUAGAGGUUCAUUCCGAACUGCGUUUCCCAGUACAUUAGCCACUGGCUGCAUGUGGCUACAGGGAACUUACAAUGUGCCUCGUGCAAAUUGAGAAGCACUCCCAAUAUAAAUACACACUAGAUUUCAAAACUUAGUAUGAAAAAAUGUAAAAUAUUGUCU
rnacentral:lncRNA from 1 species